CUCUAUUCUCACAACCAGGAAACACUGUGCCCAGCAGGUUCCUAGCCUGUCUGAUCCUGUCCCAUGCUUGGUAACCAAGUUCUGCUUUACUGAUUGUGGUCUAUUUAACUCCAUGCUUCCUGGUUCUUGACCUGGGCUGCAAACUGGUUUUUGAAAUAUUCCUAAUAAGCUUUUCUCUAGGAACUGAACUUCCUGUAAUAAGAGGAUCCUUGAUGGACCAAAAAGCAAGAGGGAAAGGACGCACAGGAAGAGAAGGAAAAGGAGGAAGGAAGAAUUUCUUUCAUGUAAGACCCAUUAACCAAAUAUGCCAGAUGGUGCUGCUCUGUGAGAUGGUUCUGUGUGCAGCAAUCAAGGACUUGUGGUCUCAAGAACUCACAGUCAAGAACAUAACAGCUACUAAGUAGAAGGUGGGUUUUAUUUCCCAUCAGCCUAUCUAUAUUUAUGCCCCUCUUUGUAGUGUACUGUGUUUUUUUCUCAAUCCUCUAACAUAGUUUCCUUUAUUGUUUUUUUAAUGUAUUAUUAAACAUUACAC
rnacentral:lncRNA from 1 species